GGAGCCCAAAUACGCGACACCUGGAGCAGUCGCGGCCGCCCCGCGGCCUGGGCCUCAUUACGGGGCCGGCCCUUAUCGCGGCGUGCAUCACAUUAUUUCAUUUCAAAGAAUCCGCAGAGAAGCCCGGCCCGGCCGACAACAGAAAGUAAAAACACAGCUGACUCCCAUUAGGGCCCUCUCACAGGCUCCGCGUGAGAAACUCCUUAAGAUCAACAUUAGCAUAUUUCAGAUGAGAAAACUGCACCCCAGAGACGUGAACCCAUUUGUUGAGAAGGUCAACAGCUAGGAAGUGGCACCAGGCAACCUGGACUCCACAGGGAGACGGCGGAGAUGCGGGCACCUUACAGGGUGUGAUUAAUGGCACUAAUAUUUCUACAAAAGCCUAGGCGCUGCUGUUGCACACUCACUUCUUUCACCACUAUUGUGAGGUUUCGUGCCUCAUUUUACAGCCGAGGAACCUGAACCCAGAGGCAAAGGCUCUUGUCCACGUCUACUCAGCAGUGUACCCCGACAACUGACCCCGCAGAGGUCAGGGAAUAUAAGCGGAUGCGGAGGAAACGCAAGUAAAAUACUCAUGGUCCCUGCCCUGGAAGCGCUCACGGUCUGGCAGGAAAAGGGCACCUGAACCAAUAAUAAGAGUGUAAAGCCGCGAUGGACGUGCCUGGUACCCACAGAGAAUCACGGAGACCUUCCCAGAGAGUCAGGAUGGAUCUCACCCAACCUGACGUUUGCGCAGUCUUCGAGGCUUCAGACUAAAUCAAAGGCUCUAGGGAAGACAGCCCACAAUACAGUGGUUCAAACAGAACAGAAGUUCGUGUCUCUUCGUGCAAUGGUUUGGAGAUAGGCAUGUGACCCCGGGUGAACGGGACAGCUGUGCUCUCCAAGGUCAUCCAGGGACCCGGGUUCCUUCUGUUUUGUUGCUCUGCCAUCCCUCCACGGCCAGAACUCGUCUGCACAUACCACGUCCUCAUUCCAGCCAUGGGAAGCAACUUCACUGGGAAGGAGCCUGAAGAUGACAGUUCUCUCCUGCUGGCCAGCAUCUCCCUCCUCUAAGGAAGAAGGGGACGGAGCAGAGGGUAGCAAUGAGAAGGCACCUUGGCCUUUGUCGCCCCCUAGAGUCUGUUCAUUUUGCCCAAACUUCCUGCCCCAGACAGACAGAUUGAUUCCCUCCAGCCCCAACCAGCGGUCCCAGAACAGGGGUGCCUGGGGAGAACCCAGCCAGGACCCGUCUCCACAUAUUCUGCCUGUGUGUGUGUCUGAAAAGACCGAGGUAAAUGGAAAGUUCUGGGCAUCUUGACAGCGAAAGUAAAACCAAUGCCAAGCUUGGAAUUCCUCGACCUGGGCUGGAUCCUGGCCCUACCAGUUACCAGCUUCAUGACUCAGGCCACCACCUUGUCUUUCUGAACCUGCAUUCCUCGCCCACAAGGCCAUGGUGGUGAAAACACCUGCCCCAUCACGGGCGCUCAGGAAGUGUUGAUUUAGACGCAGAGUCUCAGAAAAAGGAGGCUGCUCAAGAGUGAGGAAGCGGAGACGGGAGGGGUGUUGAGGGCAGGAGCCUCCAGUUCUGCGAUGGCAAAAAAGCAGCCCCAAGUUCUUCCCCAGCCUUCAGAAGAUGGGGUCUGUCUCCUCACCCCCGGAAUAUGAUGAGUUGGGUGAAGGAUUUGCUUUGACCAGUGGCUGUUGGCAAAGAUGAUGCAAGCAGAGGCUUACAAAGCACUUACGCAUUGGGGCUUGGCCCAUCUUGCUGCACUGGGAAGCCUGAGACGGCCCCCAUGUGAAGACUCCCAGGCCGUCAGCCAGCCCCCCACCCACCAUCUCUGCCACAUGAUCAGAUGAGUGGUUCCGUUAUUCACUGCUGCAUAACAAGCUACCCCCAAAGAAGCUUAAAGUCAUCUUAUCUUGCUCCACUUCUGAGGGUCAGGAGCCUGGGGGCAGCACCGCUGGAAUGGGAAUCUGGGGGCUGGCAAGCAGGGAAACCGAGUCAACACCAGCCACACCCUGCCUCCUGCAGAGCCCCGUGGUGCAGCUCCAGCUCCAUGGGCACACAGGUGAGCCUGCUUCCCUUCAGAAAACCGAGCAUCAGAAACCAGAGGGUCCUCAGCCAUGACUAAACAGGUGGGGAAGAUGACCCAACGUCACACCACAAACCUGCAGCAGCCACAGAUUUCAAGCUGCCCCUCCUGCUCCCUGCCCUGGGCUUGUUUUGUUACAAUCUAUAACGUGCACAUUGCAGCCUUGGCGACACUUCUGUUCCAAACUGAAUGUAUUUUAAAAUACUGCCCUUUGGGGACUCUGAGAUCAGCCCAGGGCAAUAAGAAAAAACCAGCAAGAAGAGGAACAAGAGAGGUGACUUUAUUAAGCUGGUUACUUCUCCCUAGCGCCAUCCCCUCCGGCCCCUUGUCCCCACCCUGGGCAACCCAGGAUUCCUGCCUCUCCAGUGACCAGAACUCACUGAGGCGCCCCAACGCUGCUCCCAAGAGGCACACAUCGGUCAGAGAAAAUCCAGAUCGGAACCUAGACUCUUAGCAUCUCAGGACUGGAAGGAAACUUCCCCUGGACUGCGCUCUCUCCUGUAUAAGUGGCCGUUCAACCUCUGCUUCCCUGCUUUCAGAAACCGGAACUUCCCGCGUCCUGAACUGGUUGGAAAGAAUUGGUUGAAAAGCGCUUUGGAGACAGGUCUGCCUCCACUCAAGUCUCUGCGAUAGACAGCUCCGCCACCUUUGAUAAGUCAUUGGACUUCUCUCCUCCUCGAACUUCUCUGCCAAGUGAGAAUAAAGCCUCCUGAGCAGG
rnacentral:lncRNA from 1 species